UUGCAGAGGAUGCUUCGGGUGCGGCUCCGGGCUAAGUUCCUUGGAACAGGGUGUCAGAGAGGGUGAGAAUCCCGUACCUGCCCGGCAGCCAACCCCAUGUGAAGCUCCUUCGACGAGUCGAGUUGUUUGGGAAUGCAGCUCUAAAUGGGUGGUAAAUUUCAUCUAAAGCUAAAUAUUGGCCAGAGACCGAUAGCGCACAAGUAGAGUGAUCGAAAGAUGAAAAGCACUUUGGAAAGAGAGUUAAACAGCACGUGAAAUUGUUGAAAGGGAAGCGCUUGCAACCAGACUUGCCGGCCGGUGAUCAGCCAUCCUUUGGGGCGGUGCACUCACCGGCCGUCAGGCCAGCAUCAGUCCUGACGGCGGGAUAAAGGCCCCGGGAAUGUAGCUUCUUUCGGGGAGUGUUAUAGCCCGGGGUGCAAUGCCGCCCGUGGGGACUGAGGACCGCGCUCCGGCUCGGAUGCUGGCGUAAUGGUUGUCAGCGGCCCGUCUUGAAACACGGACCAAGGAGUCGACCUUCUGUACGAGUGUUUGGGCUGCACACCCAUACGCGGAAUGAAAGUGAACGGAGGUGAGAACCGGCCUGGCCGGCGCAUCAUCGACCGAUCCGGAGGUUUUCCGAAGGAUUUGAGUAUCAGUACACAGGGUCGGACCCGAAAGAUGGUGAACUAUGCCUGGAUAGGGUGAAGCCAAAGGAAACUUUGGUGGAGGCUCGCAGCGGUUCUGACGUGCAAAUCGAUCGUCAAAUUUGGGUAUAGGGGCGAAAGACUAAUCGAACCAUCUAGUAGCUGGUUACCGCCGAAGUUUCCCUCAGGAUAGCAGUAACGUGUUCAGUUUUAUGAGGU
rnacentral:rRNA from 1 species